GAUGAACGCUAGCGGGAGGCCUAACACAUGCAAGCCGAGCGGUAUUUCUUCUUCGGGAGAGAGAGCGGCGUACGGGUGCGGAACACGUGUGCAGCCUACCUUUAUCUAGAGGAUAGCCUUUCGAAAGGAAGAUUAAUACUCUAUAAUAUAUUAAUUGGCAUCAAUUGAUAUUGAAAACUCCGGUGGAUAGAGAUGGGCAGGCGCAAGAUUAGCUAGUUGGUGAGGUAACGGCUCACCAAGGCAAUGAUCUUUAGGGAGCCUGAGAGGGUGAUCCCCCACACUGGUACUGAGAGACGGACCAGACCCCAACGGGAGGCAGCGAGGAGGAAUAAUGGUCAAUGGGUGCAAGCCUGAACCAGCCAUCCCGCGUGAAGGAUUAAGGUCCUAUGGAUUGUAAACUUCUUUGGUAUAGGGAUAAACCUACCCUCGUGAGGGUAGCUGAAGGUACUAUACGAAUAAGCACCGGCUAACUCCGUGCCAGCAGCCGCCGUAAUAC
rnacentral:rRNA from 1 species